rnacentral:rRNA from 1 species
AUUGAACGCUGGCGGCAGGCCUAACACAUGCAAGUCGGACGGUAGCACAGAGAGCUUGCUCUUGGGUGACGAGUGGCGGACGGGUGAGUAAUGUCUGGGGAUCUGCCCGAUAGAGGGGGAUAACCACUGGAAACGGUGGCUAAUACCGCAUAACGUCGCAAGACCAAAGAGGGGGACCUUCGGGCCUCUCACUAUCGGAUGAACCCAGAUGGGAUUAGCUAGUAGGCGGGGUAAUGGCCCACCUAGGCGACGAUCCCUAGCUGGUCUGAGAGGAGGACCAGCGACACUGGAACUGAGACACGGUCCAGACUCCUACGGGAGGCAGCAGUGGGGAAUAUUGCACAAUGGGCGCAAGCCUGAUGCAGCCAUGCCGCGUGUAUGAAGAAGGCCUUCGGGUUGUAAAGUACUUUCAGCGGGGAGGAAGGCGGUGCGGUUAAUAACCGUACCGAUUGACGUUACCCGCAGAAGAAGCACCGGCUAACUCCGUGCCAGCAGCCGCCGUAA